UUUUGCUUUAAUUAUUCAAAAUAACAGAAACAAGUCUGAUUUUAUACUUUAAUAUCAGAGUUUCAGUUGUUACAGUAAUUAGAGUUCACUAACAAUUUAACUUUUUUAUUGUUAUUAAGGUUUAAGGUUUUCAUAGAAUUCCAUAUUACGUUAUUUAACAUUUUUUUGCUGAAUCAUUACUUAAGUUUCAAAAUAAAUUAUUCACACAUGUAUUAUUUAUAUAUCUAUAAAAAGACAUAUGUUCUGUUAAAGGUUUAUCACUCCUUCUUCUUCCUCCUGCUUCCUGAAAAGAACCUACUGGUACUUCAAAAGCCAAGAAUUGUUUUCCAUGAUGGGAUUGCAUGACUCCUCCUUGAUAACGGUCUUCACGACGACUUUUCUUGGGCUACCAUAGAUAGCAUCGAUGACUACGUUCCUUGCAUCUUAUCGCAUGAGUCGCAUGCAUUUUUGUCCUUCUGGUCACUCAAUCAUGUCGUAGGACGAAAGGUCCGAAUCGACACGGGUGAUUGGUUGUAUUACGUAGAAUUUUUUGCGAGCUCAGUGACCGCGGGUAUUUAUUAUACCCGUAAGUAGUAACAUUUUCUUUUUCUAUGUAUUAUUUAUUAGUUCAGGAUAGAUCUUCUUGCAUAUGGCGUUUUUGUUUAUGUUAUUUACAUGAUAAUGACCUAUUUUAUAUUGACAAUAUUAAUAAUACUACUAACUGAUAAAAAUGAUAUUAUAUUAACAAUUAAUUUGAAUAUUUGUGAUUGAAGACAUGUAUGUUCACUAUAAUCACUUUUAAAGUUGGAGUGCAUUAAAAAUGUAUAUCUACAGAGAGUUUCAAUGAUUUAAUUAAAUAUUUCGUAGUGAUGAAGUCGGAUGCCCUCCGACUUCAUUGCAUUGAAAAUUGCAAUUAUUACAUAUUUAAUAAUAACGAUAAUAAAUCAUUUUUUAUUUCACCUUCUUUUCUCUGAUGGCACUAUCACAAUGGAUUUAAUUGUUUGCCAUUCAUUUUCGAAUUUGAGUAUUAAUUUAAAAUAUACAUAUAGGGAUAGUAAAGUUCAGUUCUGCCGUACAAAUAUGGAAUUUUAUGUACAAGAAGAUAUUUCGCGACAGGCAAAUUUUGGAAUCAAAGCAACAAGUUUUGAACACUGCUUUUAUACUUCCGAAAAUGUGCUUUGACGAAGGAAUUGCCUGAAAUUGUUUGCAAUAAUAUCUAACUUUGAGUCAGUUAUUAAAUAGAUUUCUUAUUCAUUGUCAAUUUGUCUCUUUCGUAAUGGAAUUACAAUAGUUCAUAGAGCCAAUUAUUUGAAUGAAUCAUUAUAUUGCAUUGAUCUUAUUUAUGCUGUUUUCAGCAUAUAUAAAUAAAUUCAAUAUUAGUA